rfam:Trichobilharzia regenti genome assembly, scaffold: TRE_scaffold0010885
GUACUGCUGAAGAGUCCCAAAAUAGGACGAAACAGCUGUCCAGUAC